CAGCCGCCGCGGUAAUACGAAGGGGGCUAGCGUUGCUCGGAAUGACUGGGCGUAAAGGGCGCGUAGGCGGUUUUGACAGUCAGAUGUGAAAUUCCUGGGCUCAACCUGGGGGCUGCGCUUGAUACUUGGUUGCUUGAGUGGGGAAGAGGGUCGUGGAAUUCCCAGUGUAGAGGUGAAAUUCGUAGAUAUUGGGAAGAACACCGGUGGCGAAGGCGGCGACCUGGUCCUUGACUGACGCUGAGGCGCGAAAGCGUGGGGAGCAAACAGGAUUAGAUACCCGAGUAGUCCCUGUCUCUUAUAC
rnacentral:rRNA from 1 species